rnacentral:rRNA from 1 species
CAGCCGCCACGGUAAAACGAAGGGUGCAAGCGUUACUCGGAAUUACUGGGCGUAAAGCGUGCGUAGGUGGUGGUUUAAGUCCGUUGUGAAAGCCCUGGGCUCAACCUGGGAAUUGCAGUGGAUACUGGGUCACUAGAGUGUGGUAGAGGAUAGUGGAAUUUCCGGUGUAGCAGUGAAAUGCGUAGAGAUCGGAAGGAACAUCUGUGGCGAAGGCGACUAUCUGGGCCAACACUGACACUGAGGCACGAAAGCGUGGGGAGCAAACAGGAUUAGAUACCCCCGUAGUCCCUGUCUCUUAUCC